rnacentral:lncRNA from 1 species
AUCGGACAGAUUUUUUCUUCAACUGGUAUCAGAGCCAGACUGAUAGAUUGAUGUAUAAUUAAUUUUUUUUGAUUUGUAUAUAUAUGAUAUAUAAUCAAAUUUUUAUGGUAGAUAAUAAAUUUGAUUUAAGCCUAUUAAUAUAAAAUUUAUGAUGGGUUUUGACUAGAUUUUAAUAACCUAAUCAAUGGUUCAUUGAAGG